rnacentral:rRNA from 1 species
UCAUCUUCGGGGGUAGAGCACUGUUUCGGCUAGGGGGUCAUCCCGACUUACCAACCCGAUGCAAACUACGAAUACCGAAGAAUGUUAUCACGGGAGACACACGGCGGGUGCUAACGUCCGUCGUGAAGAGGGAAACAACCCAGACCGCCAGCUAAGGUCCCAAAGUCAUGGUUAAGUGGGAAACGAUGUGGGAAGGCACAGACAGCCAGGAUGUUGGCUUAGAAGCAGCCAUCAUUUAAAGAAAGCGUAAUAGCUCACUGGUCGAGUCGGCCUGCGCGGAAGAUGUAACGGGGCUAAACCAUGCACCGAAGCUGCGGCAGCGACACUAUGUGUUGUUGGGUAGGGGAGCGUUCUGUAAGCCUGCGAAGGUGUGCUGUGAGGCAUGCUGGAGGUAUCAGAAGUGCGAAUGCUGACAUAAGUAACGAUAAAGCGGGUGAAAAGCCCGCUCGCCGGAAGACCAAGGGUUCCUGUCCAACGUUAAUCGGGGCAGGGUGAGUCGACCCCUAAGGCGAGGCCGAAAGGCGUAGUCGAUGGGAAACAGGUUAAUAUUCCUGUACUUGGUGUUACUGCGAAGGGGGGACGGAGAAGGCUAUGUUAGCCGGGCGACGGUUGUCCCGGUUUAAGCAUGUAGGCUGGUUGUCCAGGCAAAUCCGGAUAAUCAAGGCUGAGGUGUGAUGACGAGGCACUACGGUGCUGAAGUAACAAAUGCCCUGCUUCCAGGAAAAGCCUCUAAGCAUCAGGUAACAUCAAAUCGUACCCCAAACCGACACAGGUGGUCAGGUAGAGAAUACCAAGGCGCUUGAGAGAACUCGGGUGAAGGAACUAGGCAAAAUGGUGCCGUAACUUCGGGAGAAGGCACGCUGGUGUGUAGGUGAAGUCCCUGCGGAUGGAGCUGAGACCAGUCGAAGAUACCAGCUGGCUGCAACUGUUUAUUAAAAACACAGCACUGUGCAAACACGAAAGUGGACGUAUACGGUGUGACGCCUGCCCGGUGCCGGAAGGUUAAUUGAUGGGGUUAUCCGUAAGGAGAAGCUCUUGAUCGAAGCCCCGGUAAACGGCGGCCGUAACUAUAACGGUCCUAAGGUAGCGAAAUUCCUUGUCGGGUAAGUUCCGACCUGCACGAAUGGCGUAAUGAUGGCCAGGCUGUCUCCACCCGAGACUCAGUGAAAUUGAACUCGCUGUGAAGAUGCAGUGUACCCGCGGCAAGACGGAAAGACCCCGUGAACCUUUACUAUAGCUUGACACUGAACAUUGAGCCUUGAUGUGUAGGAUAGGUGGGAGGCUUUGAAGCGUGGACGCCAGUCUGCGUGGAGCCAACCUUGAAAUACCACCCUUUAAUGUUUGAUGUUCUAACGUUGGCCCCUGACCGGGGUUGCGGACAGUGUCUGGUGGGUAGUUUGACUGGGGCGGUCUCCUCCCAAAGCGUAACGGAGGAGCACGAAGGUUAGCUAAUCCUGGUCGGACAUCAGGAGGUUAGUGCAAUGGCAUAAGCUAGCUUGACUGCGAGCGUGACGGCGCGAGCAGGUGCGAAAGCAGGUCAUAGUGAUCCGGUGGUUCUGAAUGGAAGGGCCAUCGCUCAACGGAUAAAAGGUACUCCGGGGAUAACAGGCUGAUACCGCCCAAGAGUUCAUAUCGACGGCGGUGUUUGGCACCUCGAUGUCGGCUCAUCACAUCCUGGGGCUGAAGUAGGUCCCAAGGGUAUGGCUGUUCGCCAUUUAAAGUGGUACGCGAGCUGGGUUUAGAACGUCGUGAGACAGUUCGGUCCCUAUCUGCCGUGGGCGCUGGAGAAUUGAGGGGGGCUGCUCCUAGUACGAGAGGACCGGAGUGGACGCAUCACUGGUGUUCGGGUUGUCAUGCCAAUGGCACUGCCCGGUAGCUAAAUGCGGAAGAGAUAAGUGCUGAAAGCAUCUAAGCACGAAACUUGCCCCGAGAUGAGUUCUCCCUGAGACUUUAAGUCUCCUGAAGGAACGUUGAAGACGACGACGUUGAUAGGCCGGGUGUGUAAGCGCAGCGAUGCGUUGAGCUAACCGGUACUAAUGAACCGUGAGGCUUAACCUUACAACGCCGAAG